rnacentral:tRNA from 1 species
AGCUCAGUGGCAGAGCACGUGCUUAGCAUGCAGGAGGUCCUGGGUUCAAUCCCCAG